UGGAAAGUGCUGGAGUCAGACACCCUCUAUCCACAGCAAAGACAUGGAACAGGCAGUACUUUCCCUCAGGCUGCCCCACACAGGCCUCAGCCCUACCACUCUACUUGUAGGGGUUGAGAAGAGAGUUGAGUCUCCAUGGCCCAUUCAGCCCUUGGCCUUU
rnacentral:sRNA from 1 species